GAUGAACGCUAGCGGCAGGCCUAACACAUGCAAGUCGAGGGAGAGGUUACCUUCGGGUAACCAAAACCGGCGCACGGGUGCGUAACGCGUAUACAAUCUGCCUUUCACAUAGGGAUAGCCCGAAGAAAUUUGGAUUAAUACCUAAUGGUAUAUAAGAGCGGCAUCGUUUUUAUAUUAAAGCUACGGUGGUGAAAGAUGAGUAUGCGUUCUAUUAGCUAGUUGGAGAGGUAACGGCUCCCCAAGGCGACGAUAGAUAGGGGUUCUGAGAGGGAUGUCCCCCACACUGGUACUGAGAUACGGAUCAGACUCCUACGGGAGGCAGCAGUGAGGAAUAUUGGACAAUGGUCGGAAGACUGAUCCAGCCAUGCCGCGUGCAGGAUGAAGGUCCUAUGGAUUGUAAACUGCUUUUGUAAGGGAAGAAUAAGGAGUACGUGUACUUUGAUGACGGUACCUUACGAAUAAGCAUCGGCUAACUCCGUG
rnacentral:rRNA from 1 species